rnacentral:rRNA from 1 species
UACGUAGGGUGCGAGCGUUAAUCGGAAUUACUGGGCGUAAAGCGUGCGCAGGCGGCGCGUUAAGACAGGUGUGAAAGCCCCGAGCUUAACUUGGGAAUUGCGCUUGUGACUGGCGUGCUGGAGUGUGGCAGAGGGAGGUGGAAUUCCACGUGUAGCAGUGAAAUGCGUAGAGAUGUGGAGGAACACCGAUGGCGAAGGCAGCCUCCUGGGCCAGCACUUACGCUCAUGCACGAAAGCGUGGGGAGCAAACAGG